AUAAAAACGAGAUAUAUACAAAUAUAUUCAAUACAAAACAAUAUAAAAGUACACCAAUCAAUUAAAUACAUGAUAUAAUAUUACUAUAGUUUACAUAAUAUUUACAAUUAAGUUUAUACAUUAAUUUCUUCCAAUUCCGCAUCCAAAGUUCUUCCAAACACAUCCAUAGCUAAAGUAUGACUGACGUUAUUUCCUAAUCAUGAUCUUAUUUAUCCAACUAUUAUGACUUAUCGAAUUCUAGCCAUUUAACAAAAAUUUUUUUUUCUCUUGGUACGAAUCACUUUUUCAAGUAAAUAGUCGUUUGAAAACUCUGUUUUUA